GAGUUUGAUCCUGGCUCAGAACGUACGCUGGCGGCACGCCUAACACAUGCAAGUCGAACGAAGUAGCAAUACUUAGUGGCAGACGGGUGAGUAACAUGUAGGUAUCUGCCCUUUGGCCUGGAAUAACACGAGGAAACUUGUGCUAAUACCGGAUAAGUCUUUACGGAGAAAGCUUUAUGCACCAUUGGAUGAGCCUGCACUUGAUUAGUUUGUUGGUGGGGUAAUGGCCUACCAAGACUGUGAUCAAUAGCUGAUUUGAGAGGAUGAUCAGCCACAUUGGGACUGAGACACGGCCCAAACUCCUACGGGAGGCAGCAGUGGGGAAUCUUGCACAAUGGAGGAAACUCUGAUGCAGCGAUGCCGCGUGAGUGAAGAAGGCCCUUGGGUUGUAAAGCUCUUUCGUCGGGGAAGAAAAUGACUGUACCCGAAUAAGAAGGUCCGGCUAACUUCGUGCCAGCAGCCGCGGUAAUACGAAGGGACCUAGCGUAGUUCGGAAUUACUGGGCUUAAAGAGUUCGUAGGUGGUUGAAAAAGUUGGUGGUGAAAUCCCAGAGCUUAACUCUGGAACUGCCAUCAAAACUUUUCAGCUAGAGUAUGAUAGAGGAAAGCAGAAUUCUAGUGUAGAGGUGAAAUUCGUAGAUAUUAGAAAGAAUACCAAUUGCGAAGGCAGCUUUCUGGAUCAUUACUGACACUGAGGAACGAAAGCAUGGGUAGCGAAGAGGAUUAGAUACCCUCGUAGUCCAUGCCGUAAACGAUGUGUGUUAGACGUUGGAAAUUUAUUUUCAGUGUCGCAGCGAAAGCGAUAAACACACCGCCUGGGGAGUACGACCGCAAGGUUAAAACUCAAAUGAAUUGACGGGGACCCGCACAAGUAGUGGAGCAUGUGGUUUAAUUCGAAGAUACGCGCAGAACCUUACCAACACUUGACAUGUUCGUCGCGACUUUAAGAGAUUAAAGUUUUCGGUUCGGCCGGACGAAACACAGGUGCUGCAUGGCUGUCGUCAGCUCGUGUCGUGAGAUGUUGGGUUAAGUCCCGCAACGAGCGCAACCCUCACUUUUAGUUGCCAUCAUUAAGUUGGGCACUCUGAAAGAACUGCCAGUGAUAAGCUGGAGGAAGGUGGGGAUGACGUCAAGUCCUCAUGGCCCUUACGUGUUGGGCUACACACGUGCUACAAUGGCAUUUACAAUAGGAAGCAAGAUGGCGACGUCAAGCAAAUCCUAAAAAGAUGCCUCAGUUCGGAUUGUACUCUGCAACUCGAGUACAUGAAGCUGGAAUUACUAGUAAUCGCGGAUCAGCGCGCCGCGGUGAAUACGUUCCCGGGUCUUGUACACACCGCCCGUCACACCAUGGGAGUUGGUUCUACCUUAAGGCAAGGCUUUAAACCCUUGACCACGGUAUAGUCAGCGACUGGGGUGAAGUCGUAACAAGGUA
rnacentral:rRNA from 2 species